UAGGGAAUAUUGCAAAAUGGGCGAAAGCCCGAUGCAGCAACGCCGCGUGGGCGAUGAAGGCCUUCAGGUCGUAAAGCCCUUUUUGAGGGGAUGAGGAAGGACAGUACCCUCAGAAUAAGCCUCGGCUAACUACGUGCCAGCAGCCGCGGUAAAACGUAGGAGGCGAGCGUUAUCCGGAUUUACUGGGCGUAAAGCGCGUGCAGGCGGAUUGGAGAGUUGGAUGUGAAAGCUCCCGGCUUAACUGGGAGAGGUCGUUCAAUACUUCCAGUCUUGAGUGCCGUAGAGGGACGUGGAAUUCCGAGUUUAGUGGUGAAAUGCGUAGAUAUCCGGAGGAACACCAGUGGCGAAAGCGGCUUCCUGGACUGUAACUGACGCUCAGACGCGGAAGCUAGGGUAGCAAACGG
rnacentral:rRNA from 1 species